rnacentral:rRNA from 1 species
UACAGAGACUGCAAGCGUUAUUCGGAUUCACUGGGCGUAAAGGGUGCGCAGGCGGCCAAGUGUGUGAGGCGUGAAAGCCCGAAGCUUAACUUCGGAAUUGCACCUCAAACUACAUGGCUAGAGCAUUGGAGAGGGAAGCGGAAUUCACGGUGUAGCAGUGAAAUGCGUAGAUAUCGUAAGGAAGACCAGUGGCGAAGGCGGGUCUCUGGACAGUUCCUGACGCUGAGGCACGAAGGUCAGGGGAGCAAACGGG